GCUCCUCCCGAACAGAGGGUAACUUCCGCGGCUCUCCGAAGCGCGGGGCUUCUACCCCCGUGGGUGGGUGAGGUACCGGCCACCGGCAUGCUCCUCCGCCUGCUCCUGCUGCUUGCGUUGUGCGGUGCGGGCUCCGCUGCCAUGGUGGUCAGCGUCAGCUUGCGGGGAAGCUGGAGGAUCCGCAGCGGGAACGGCUCGCUGGAGUUGCCCGCGGAGGUUCCCGGUUGCGUGCACAGCGCCUUGUUCCACCAGAGGCUUAUCCAGGAUCCUUAUUACAGAUUUAAUAACCUUAACUACCGAUGGAUCGCCUUGGAUAACUGGACCUAUAUCAAGAAAUUUAAAAUCCCUUUUGACCUGAGCAAAUGGAGUAAAGUAAAGUUGGUUUUUGAAGGCGUCGAUACAGUUACAGUAGUCCUGCUCAAUAAUAUUCCUGUUGGCGAAACAGACAACAUGUUCAGAAGCUAUAGCUUUGAUAUUACACGUGUGGUCCAGGCAGUAAACAUCCUUGAGGUGCAUUUCCAGUCACCAGUGAUAUAUGCGGACCAGAGGAGUAAAGUUCACACUCACUACAGCGUGCCCCCCAACUGCCCUCCGCGUGUGCAGGAUGGCGAAUGCCAUGUCAACUUUAUUCGCAAGGCACAGUGUUCCUUUAGUUGGGACUGGGGGCCUUCCUUUCCUACCCAGGGCAUCUGGAAAGAUGUUAGAAUUGAAGCCUAUAAUAUUUGUCAUCUGAACUACUUCACAUUUACCCCCAUAUAUGAUAAUAAUAUCCAGGAGUGGAAUCUUGAAAUAGAGUCUUCUUUUGAUGUUAUCAGUUCAAAGCCAGUUUUGGGUCAAGCGAUUAUAGCCAUCCCUGAAUUAAAAAUACAACAGACAAACAGCGUUGAACUUCAGCAUGGGGAAAGGAUUGUUAAACUCUUUGUGAAAAUUGACAAGAGUGUUACUAUAGAAACUUGGUGGCCUCAUGGACAUGGAAACCAGACUGGGUACAACAUGACAGUUCUUUUUAAGCUGGAUGGAGGCUUAAGUUUUGAAAAAUCAGCUAAGGUUUAUUUUAGGACAGUGGAACUCAUAGAAGAGCCCAUAAAAGGAUCCCGUGGUCUGAGUUUCUACUUCAAAAUUAAUGGACUUCCAAUAUUUCUGAAAGGCUCGAAUUGGAUUCCCCCAGAUUCAUUCCAGGAUCGAGUAACCUCUGCCUUAUUACGGCUCCUUUUGCAGUCUGUUGUGGAUGCUAACAUGAAUGCUCUCCGGGUUUGGGGAGGAGGAAUUUAUGAGCAGGAUGAAUUCUAUGAACUCUGUGAUGAACUAGGAAUAAUGGUAUGGCAGGAUUUUAUGUUUGCCUGUGCACUUUACCCAACUGAUCAGGAUUUCAUGGAUUCAGUGAGAGCAGAAGUUUCUUACCAGGUCAGGAGACUGAAAUCUCAUCCCUCCGUCAUCACAUGGAGUGGAAAUAAUGAAAAUGAAGCAGCUUUGAUGUUGAAUUGGUAUGAUAUACAGUCCAGCAACCUGUCCACCUACAUCGAUGAUUAUGUGACACUGUAUGUGAAAAACAUCCGAAGGAUUGUCUUCGAAGGAGACCAGACUCGUCCUUUUAUCACAUCCAGUCCUACAAAUGGGGCUAAAUCCACUGCAGAAGGCUGGCUCUCUAAAAACCCAUAUGACCCGAAUUAUGGUGACGUACAUUUUUAUGACUAUGUUGGUGAUUGCUGGAAUUGGAAAAUUUUCCCCAAAGCUCGAUUUGUAUCUGAAUAUGGAUAUCAGUCCUGGCCUUCCUUCAGUACAUUAGAGAAGGUUUCAUCUAAAGAGGACUGGUCUUAUGAAAGCAAAUUUGCACAUCAUAGACAACAUUUCACAGAUGGUAACUAUAAAAUGCUUCACCAGGCUGAGCUUCAUUUCAAACUCCCCCAAAGUGCAGAUCAAUUACGCAAGUUCAAAGACACUAUUUAUCUUACUCAGGUGAUGCAGGCCCAGUGUGUCAAAACAGAAACUGAAUUCUACCGCCGCAGUCGCAGCGAGAUAGUGCAUGGAGAAGGGCACACCAUGGGGGCGCUUUAUUGGCAGUUGAAUGACAUCUGGCAGGCUCCUUCCUGGUCUUCUCUAGAGUAUGGAGGAAAGUGGAAAAUGCUUCAUUAUUUUGCUCGUCAUUUCUUCGCUCCGCUGUUGCCGGUGGGUUUUGAGAAUGAAGAUGUGUUUUUCAUCUACGGUGUGUCAGACCUUCAUUCAGACCACAAGAUGAUGCUCACUGUGAGAGUCCACACAUGGAGUUCCCUGGAGCCCGUGUGCUCUGAGACGACAAAGCCUUUUGUGAUGAAAGCAGGGGAGUCUGCUCUUCUCUAUGAUAAGCCAGUAGCUGAAUUAUUAAGAGGAUGUACAAAUUGUACACGACAAAGCUGUGUGGUUUCCUUUUACCUGUCAACUGCCAGGGAGCUCUUGAGCCCAACCAACUAUCACUUCCUGUCCUCACCAAAGGAGGCCAAGGGGCUCCACAAGGCAAAUAUCACUGCCACCAUCUCUCAGCAAGGGGACACAUUUGUUUUUCAUCUGAAAACCUCAGCUGUUGCUCCCUUUGUUUGGUUGGAUGUAGAAAGCAUCCCAGGGAGAUUCAGUGACAAUGGUUUUCUCAUGACUGAGGAGACACGGACUGUAUUCUUCUACCCUUGGAAACCCACCAAUGAGAGUGAAUUGGAGCGAUCUUUUCAUGUGAUUUCACUGGCGGAUAUUUACUGAGGGAAUCCAGGCUGUAUUGGCAGGAGCUGAAGGCAACCAGAAACAAGUUGAAGAGGCCAGGAAACGCGUCUGCUUGCUGUCAGGUGUCUGCAUAACCACUUGGUGAAGAGCUUGUACUAGUGCAUUCUCCCAGGGAAGGCUGUGUACUCAGGUGAUGUCCUCCUCCAACAAAGCUGUGCCUAGGUGCCGUCCAGUCCGCACCAGGACUGUGGUUUUAGCCCAUUCCCCCACGGCUUUUGCACCACAUGAACCAGUUAUAACCCAACUGCCUCUCCAAGCCCGGAAAGGAGGUCUGUCCACGUGCAGCCCUUUAAGGGAAUCACAGGAACUGGAAACAAGACUACAGGAUCACACUCAAGCUCUGUGAAGUCAGCCAGAGGAUUUCUUCAUGAUAACUGCAGCCGGCACUUUCUCAGUCCUUAGAAGACAGAGGUUACUGAAUCCUGCCAUGAAAAGAAAGUAUGCAACAGUGAUGCAGCUGAACUCCUUAGGUCAGGUCUCAGCCUUUGCACGGGAUUUAUUGAGCACCAGCUUGUGCCGUGUUGUGCUGUGUAUGCAGUGAGAAAAGAAUCGUCAGUCUUCUGUGACCUGAGUUGGAGGAGAAAUUUUCAGGCGGUAAGCCGAAGAAUUUCUAAAUUUCUUGCUUUUGGUGAGCCUCCUUCCAAUUUUACUGACGCAAAAAUUUGAGUAACAAGAGGCAUGCCAGCUGUUCGGUGAUGUUGCAGAGUUCUGCUUCUUCCAGCAGAGGCCUCUUGUGCACAGGAAGUGAGGCUGGUGGUGGCUGGAGGGGACCCUGGGCCAGGGCACUGGUUUCCCAGAAGCUCCCCCAGAGUAAAGCAGGGAGGGGAGUCUAAGGAAGAGCUUGUGGGGACCGCCCCCCACCCUCCACCCCCGUCCCCUGUCCGGGCUUCAGAGAGCUGGAUGCCAGUGUCCUGGAAUUCUGGAGUCUUUCUUGAAAGAAAGAGACGGGGAGAGAGAAGGAGAGAAAGAAAGAGGGAUGGAUAGAGGGAGAAAGCGGGGAGGAGGGAGAGAGGGAGGAAGGAAGGCAGCAGCUUUGUUUAAGCUCCAGGGCUCAGAGGCAGGACACCCGUGAGCCUGAUGAUCCCAAGGGUCAGACCUGCAGAGAGACUCUUUCUGCUGUCUGCCUUCCAGUUUAUUUCGUUUCCCUUCAUUGUUGCUACCUGGCCAAAAGGGCAUCUAAAUGAUUUUUAAUCCCAAUUUAACUGCUACGGAGCUAUGAAAACUUGGCACAAAGCCUCCAGCAUAGCUGAUUGAUGGGGGAGAAGUCAGAUGAUCUCUUAAAAGCCACGGUGACGAGCGAGAAGGACUGAAACCGUGAGUUACUGAAACCGUGAGUUACGGCAUGGUUUGCAGAAAGGCCCAAACUUCUGGUGAUGGAGGGAGCGAUGGAGGGUCUUUCCUGGUCCAGCAUGGCCUCUUCUGUAUAAGGCGGUGGCCCUGUGGGUGACUCGCUGGCCACACAUUCUUUCUUGAAGCUUUAAACCUGGAGUCUCUUUGCCUUCCAGAACUAAAACGAACGGUCUCUGGUGCAUUUGCUGUGUGCAUAUGUUGAUCAUCAUUCAAGACGUGCUUUUGGUGAGGGAGGAAAGCAGUCGGGGCCAGAUGGUGACUCUGACCUUCCCAGAUCAACACUGGGAAGGAGACGACAGCUAAGGGCUGCUUUGGCAUCAGGCUGACUUGCCCAGUCGUCCAUGAGCACAUAAAUACUUCCUGAGCAUGUAUGGCCCCGUCUGUGGGAGAGGGAAAUGACUUUGCCCUUGGUCAUGGCCAUUUACCAUGAUUGCAGGUGACUUUCAGAGGGAGUGGAUGUUUGCACACAAGUUGGAACUCGAAGGAACUUCAGGUUCAAUCUCCAUCCUUUAGCUGACCGGACCAUCACCCACAGCAAGGCCUUAGGAGCCAAGGGUUGGCGGGAGAAUCACUGUCAGCCUGGAUCCCUUCAUGACUAUGUGGAAGAGAGACGCCCUGCUCACCCCUGUCCCCUACUGCAAGUGUGGUUUAUUGAAACACAGUUUUUGCACAAGUUAUAUGGGAUAAUGAGUCACCACUCACUGUAGAGCCUGGCAGGUGACAGAUGCUCGAGAAAUCUAGACCGAAUACACAUCUUCGUUCCUUGAGGGUUGUUGUGAUAUCUUAAUGAAAUAAUCAUUUUGGAGAGAGGUAUCAACAUGGAAAAGCUAAUUGCUGGAGGACUUCAGGUAUGGCUAAAGAAUAACCUGUGGAAUCAGACACACCUGGAUUUGAAUCUGGGGAAGGGCCCUCCCACCCCAGCAAGGUGACACCAGUGCUGAAACUGAACGGCAAGAAGGAGCCCGCCAGAGACCUGCGAGACAGAAAUGAAGAAAGAGGAUGUCUCUGCAUUCAAAGCUGUGCAGGGACAAGCAGGCAGGCUGUGAACACGACAGCACGCCCCUUCCCCCGAGAUAGCCGGCAGCCUGGGAGGUUGCUCUCAGGGCAGAGAGCAACUCAAAGAAAGGAAAGCAUCACCAGGUAAUGGCUCCGCAAGGAGUCACGUCACUGGUUCCAUGUGCUGACAUGCGAUCAAGGCAUGUUCUUGGGGAGGGCAAGGCAUGAAGGUUGAUUACAGUCUUUCGUCUUUGUUCAGCGAGAUCAAAGUUCUGUGACCAUCCUGACACUCUAAGUAGCAUUUCUGCAGCAAGUCUCAAGGUGUCUGAAAACAGCCAAGGUGGGUUUCCUGCUGUCCUGGGUCAACCCUCCCAGGACACGGGUAAUGACUGAUUUUCUACCUCAGAGUUAAGGGAGAAGGAAAGGGAUUAUGCUCCGGCCAAUGGUGUUAACAGAGCAAAGUCAAAUAAACGUAGUCAAAGAUGUAAGACGACGUGUUACCUCGUAGUUGUCCAUGAGAGUUCUGGAAGGAGCAGGACUCAGCCGGAAGGCAUUAUUUAGUAUCCCCAAACCUAAUUUCUGUGCCAGAGUAGCCCAGUUUUUGUCUGGAUCAGGAAUUUCUAGCAACUUGUAGAGCUGCAACUUCGCAUCUUCAGUCAGCUGUUUCAUGUCUCCUGAAGAGAAUAAAGAAGAAACACGACCGUCCUAACCGACCAGAGACGCUCCGGAGGGAUGGAUCACUGCCACACCGCUCACCCUCCCGCCCCGGGGAAGCAGUCACGUUCCUUCACGUGGAAGUCGGCAGCAGCCCACGCUGUCGUAAUUUACAGCCGGACCUUCUCCGUGGCGCCCCUCCAGGGUCUCCUGAUUCUGAGAGAAGCCCCUGUGCCUUUCACAGCACACCCUGACCCCCCCCCCCCGCUUCAGUGACAGGGUGGAGAUGACACUGGCUCAAAGAACCCGCUUCUCCCACAACUCACCUUGUGCCAGUAAAUCGUCAGGUGUAAACUCUGGCUCAUAGGGUUUCCCAUUUAAUAUGUCAAAUACCUGUUGGGAGGAAAAGCACGGGGAGAUGUUGCACGUUACAGGGACCAUGAGGGAAAUCUGCUUCUCUGUAAUACAAAGGACUCGGCGUGUCCUCCUCGGGAGGGGCCAGGACCCCAAAGACGGAGGAAUGGGAAGAGGGGUCAGUACCAUCGCCCGAGAAUACGCGUGCCCUCUGGGGGGCUCUGGGCCUGGGAGGCUGUGCUCCACGGGAGCCGCCUGAGGUGGGGAGCAAGACCCAACCCAGCCUCACACAGAGCCAAGGCCACGGCCCUGCUGAGGGGCAGAGGCAGUCUAGGCCACCCAGUCAGCCACGUGUGGGUCAGCGAUGUUCCCUGAGAGCUAGGGAGGGGGCUGAGCUCACGCUGAGCUGUGAAGCUGGGCUCUGCGGCUGCCCCUCCUCCCUAGUGAAAAGGCUUCUGAGAGCGAGUUUUACGAACGUGCCCAAACUGAGGUGUACAAACGCUCACAGGGCUUGGGGUCAGCCUCCUGGCACCAUCCACGUUUUAACUGCGGGGCCAGAAAAGUCUUAGGUUAAAAGAGAGGAAAAAACCAAAACUGCAUAGCUCUGGGGGCUGUUCUGCGCUCUCUGCAGUCACUCGGUGGCUGGCUGACCUGGGCGAGGACCACAUGGGGUCACUGAAGUGGGUUAUCUUUGUGUUCUGUGGUGAGGCUUCUGGGAAAACCAGGCGUUCAACGUAAAGAGAGCCGUGUGGUCUCUCCGCCAGGGUCACUCAGCUCAACCCACGCGGCCCGCGAGGGGCAAGCGGGCAGUUUUGGACAGGGAGCGGCACCUGGCCCUGCGAAGGGUUAAUAUUCAGCUGGGCCGCCCACCUCCUCCCUCUGGCUCCCCUCCCGACGCCCAAAAGACCCAGUAACUGCUUUCGCCUUCAGAUCUCAGGUCAGCAGAGUUCCGAGGAAAGCUUUAAGGCUGUUUACUUUGUUUACAUUUGUGCAGAUCCUCAGAAGAAUCCCCAUUUCUUUUUAUGUUCAGAAAUCACUUACCGAAGUUCAAGCCAACCGUAACAGUUAUCCUGGCUUCAGAAACUGAGAUGGGAACGACUGUGGUGCAUGUGCUUUGGGGAGUAAAGACCGAGGAAGGCCACCUGCUCUGACGUCCCUGGACCUGGAGCUCCCUCAGGAGCAGCGAGCACACGGGCGGAGCCGCACUCACCUGCCAGCUGGUGGCCAUAUCCAGAGGAGUGGUUCCUGGCAGGACUCCUUCAUCCUCUCCAUCCUCGUCCCAAGAGUCAUCCAGGUCGUACAGAGGCUCAAAGUUCUCCACCAGGGGAUCUGCUCCUGCGAAGUCAAGUUAACACAGCGUUAGCUGCAGCCUGAUCUCUGGGGCAGUAAGUGUCACCCGACCACGGAAACAGUAGAGAAACUAGGAUGAACAAUUUGCAGGACCCAAGAUGGAGAAGCUUAACUAGGUCUGUUCCUUAAGUGAUCUUCUUCAUGACUCUGAGCUCAGGACUAGGAUUUUGUUUUUGUUUUUAAAUUUUGUUUUUAAAUUUUGUUUAUUUUUGUCUGCGUUGGGUCUUCGCUGCUGCUGCGCGUGGGCUUUCUCUAGUUGCAAUGAGUGGGGGCCCCUCUUCGUUGCGGUGCGCGGGCUUCUCAUUGCGGUGGCUUCUCUUAUUGCGGAGCCUAGGCUCUAGGUGCACAGGCUUCAGUAGUUGUGGCUUAGCGGGCUCUAGAGCACAGGCUCAGUAGUUGUGGCGUGGGCUUAGUUGCUCCCCAGCACGUGGGAUCUUCCUGGAACAGGGCUCGAACCCGUGUCCCCUGCAUCGGCAGGCGGAGUCUCAACCACUGCGCCAUCAGGGAAGCCCAGGACUAGGUUUUUCUUCUGAGUUUCUUCAUUUAUGUACUGGAGAAACUGCUACUUGCUACUCCUUUCAUGGGAUACUGAGAAUUAGAGAGAAAGCAUUCUUGGAAGGGUCAGAGCUUCUCGUCUGAAGGCAUUUCUUAAUUAUAACCAGUGACUCCCCACACUAUUCAUCCACACUGCAAUCAUCGUCUCUUGUUCACGGGAACGUCAACUUGACAAAGGAGGAAAGAAAAGGCUGCUGCUUAUUCGGGAUGUGAUGUCAGAAAAAUGUAGUGCUGCCAAAGAAAAGGUUCUCAUAUUUUUCUGGCCUCAGUUUUUUUUAGAAGGUAUUUAAUCUUCUCUUUUCUUGAAUUUGUGAAGCAUUUAUUUUCUAAAAAAAAUUUAAUAACCUCUGAGGUAAAUCACAUAGGCCAGGACAGGCUUGAGAUACCAAUUCCAUUAAACAUUUUUUGAGGUUCUAAAUACACAAGGCAGUAGAGAUUCAAGGAUGAGCAGGAAUAAUUUUUUCUGUAUUUCACAGGAAGAGAGGAUUGAAUUGGAAUAACACCUUCAAAUCCUUGAGCAAAACAGGGGACAGAAACACAGCAGAGAGAAUGGAGUCUGGAAGUUCAGGGUGACGAGGUGUGACUCACAGCUCUGCCCCUUACUGGGGCCCUGGGACCGGGAUGCAGAAGUCUCUCUAGUCUGUUUCCUUGGCUAUAAAAUGGGGCUAAUAAUGGGCUUUGUCUCAAAGGGUUAUUGUGGAUUAAGUAAGACUAAAUGAGACAGUGCGUGUGGAGUGCCUAUAGCCCAACAGCCCAACAGCAGCUAGCGAUGUUUAGUGCCUGGUACAUGACAGUACUCAACACACCGCCCACUUGUUUCUUCCUAUUACUCUGGCUUCUCAGGGACCUUUCUUGCAAAAGGAAGUCUUUAAAUCAUUUCUUAUACCAAUAAACUUUUCCUUCUGAGGACUUGUGACAUGACCUGAGGUGGAUACUGCUCCGAGUUCUACAAGGAAUUCGAUUCAACGUUAAGAGCUCUUGUCAUGGGAGUCAAUGAAGACAACCCACAUCCAAAACAAACAGGUGAACUGGAGAGUAAAAACUAACGUGACUGUCAGCACGAAGCCCGGGACUACUAGUCCAAACAGUGCCUCUACGGCAGUUGAAUGUGAUUUGCCAGAGAACUUUUAUUUACUUGUGCCUUUCUGCAGCGGGUCUGUGGCUUAAGAAGGUGGCGUGGCUGCUCUACUGAGGCUGGGUUUGCAUUCCUGAUGACAUUUUCCAUCACCGACCGCCAGGCUCCCUUACCUGCUGCCUUGAGAAGAGCUGCCAGCCUCGUGGACCCUCUCCCAGCUGCUAUGUGCAGGGGUGUAGUUCCGUCAUAGGUGGUGCUGUCUACAUGGGCAUCACCCUAAAAUCCCCCCCCACAGAAAACGUACGCGGGCCUCUCACUGUUGUGGCCUCUCCCGUUGCGGAGCACAGGCUCUGGAUGCGCAGGCUCAGUGGCCAUGGCUCACAGGCCCAGCUGCUCCGCGGCAUGUGGGAUCUUCCCGGACCGGGGCGCAAACCCACGUCCCCUGCAUCGGCAGACGUACUCUCAACCGCUGCGCCACCAGGGAAACCCUAUCUUCCCAAAACUUUUUUAUCUUUUUGCACAAAGAACUGUUCCAGGUGCCUUUUACAGUCUUCCAGGUAACUGAAAUUUUUUCCAUUAAGAGAAUUUUGUAAAGACUGAAAUGAAAUCUGAAGGUGUAAUGUCUGGUGAAUACGGCGGAUGAAUCAGAACUUCCCGGCCACGCUGGAACAGUUUUUGCCUGGUCAUCAAAGAAACAUGCGGUCUUGUGUUAUCCUGAUGGAAGAUUAUGCGUUUUCUGUUGACUAAUUCUGGACGCUUUUAGUCGAGUGCUGCUUUCAGUUAGUCUAAUUGGGAGCAGUACUUGUUGGAAUUAAUCGUUUGGUUUUCCAGAAGGAGCUCAUAACAGAGGACUCCCUUCCAAUUUCACCAUAUACACAUCACCUUCUCUGGAUGAAGACUGGCCUUUGGUGUGGUUGGUGGUGUUCAUUUCACUUGCCCCACGAUCUCUUCCAUUCCACAUUAUUGUACAGUAUCCACUUUUCAUCACCUGUCACAAUUUGUUUUAAAAAUGGAACGUUUUUGUUACGUUUAAGUAGAGAAUCGCAUGCAGAAAUAGGGUCAAGAAGGUUUUUUCCCCGCUUAACAUGGAACUGAAACAUCAAAGUGACUGACGUAACCCAGCUGGUGCACAUGAUUUUCAAAGCUUGAUUUGGAUAUUCUGAGUAUGUCGGCUAUCUCCCUAGUGGUAAUAAUGGUGAUCGUUCUCAAUUAAUGUCUCGAUUUGAUUGCUAUCAACUUCAACUGGUCUACCAGACCGCAGAGCAUCGUCCAGCGAGAAAUCUCCAGCACGAAACUUCGCAAACCACUUCUGACACGUUCAAUCAGUCACAGCACCUUCUCCAUACACUGCACAAAUCUUUUCGUGUUUCAGUUGCGUUUUUACUUUUCUUGAAAUAAUAAAGCAUAACAGGCCGAAAAUGUUUUCCUUCCAUCUUCAAUAUUAAAAUGGCUACACAAAAAAAUCACCAAUUUUGGUAAGUCUUUUUUUAAAUGCACGCUGAUAUGACAGCUGUCACAUACAAUCUAACAAAAUUGUUUUGAAUGAAGCUAAAGACAACCAAGUGCUGUGAGAGCCGUCUUACGGAAAAAACCGAAGGAACCUUUUGGCCAAUCCAAUAUAUAUACUGGACUAACAUUUAGUCGUUCAAUUAUCAAGAUUAUUUUUUAUAUUUACAAUUCUUAAUAGCUUUCUUGUUUCUCACUACAGCCAAGUGAUUGUUGAUAUGUUAACUCAUCUAUUAGUAAAUUUAGUUUUCUUGAAUUUCUAGGAGUCUACCUUCAGCUGAAAAAUCAUGUUAACAAAUCAAAUCAAGGCUAUGGUUUUACUGAAGAAGUUUAAAUAAACUGCCCGAUAGAAACCAAUUAACAAAGGUGCUGUCAUUCUAUACUGACAUGGAAAAAAAAUGCGCUAAAUUAAAAACUACUGUUCCGUGGACUGGCUCCAUGAGACCAAUGGAUAGAACUCUGCCACUCCCAUUUUAGAGGAUUCUCAAAGUCAUACUAGGACCAGAGAACUACCUCUCACUAAGAGGGCUCGGAUGGACAAACAAGCUGAGUUGCUGACACCUAAUAAGUGUGUAAACAGUCCAUUUGAUUACGCUGCCCACGAAGCAGUACCUCAGUGAAUGCAAAUGAGAUGUUUUGAAAACUGUGUUUUCAAAAUCAGUUAAGACAGACACAAUCAUGGAAGUAUCUUUCAAAGAACUGAGGCCACUGACACAGAACAGCAGUGUAUUUUUAUACAAGUCAGUCUAUUUCACAGAAGCCUGUGAAAUCCAGCCUGUCUAGUGACAAUUUGCCUAAACUUUCCUUCUCAGUAAGCAGUUAGUGGCUGUAGCAGUGACAACAGGUGGGCCACCGACAUCCUGGCCGGGGCAUGGCACAUGUAAACAGGAUGAAAGAUGCUUGUGCUGCCUAAGUCUCAUUACAGUGAUUAUUUUUUUUAUAAUUAAUUAAUUUUUGGCUGUGUUGGGCUUUGUUGCUGCGUGCGGGCUUUCUUUAGUUGCGGCGAGUGGGGUCUACUCUUCGUUGUGGUGCGCGGGCUUCUCAUUGCAGUGGCUUCUCUUGUUGCGGAGCAUGGGCUCUAGGUGCGCGGGCUCCAGUAGUUGUGGCACACGGGCUUGGUAGUUGCGGCUCGCGGGCUCUAGAGCUUAGGCUUGUAGUUGUGGCGCACGGGCUUAGUUGCUCCGCGGCGUGUGGGAUCUUCCCAGACCAGGGAUCGAACCUGUGUCCCCUGCAUUGGCAGGCGGAUUCUUAACCACUGCACCACCAGGGAAGCUGCUACAGUGAUUAUUUAAUAUAACAGAAACGGAUUUUUUUUCUAAAUUUCCACUCUCACCCUUAUUUUUUUCAUCCCUUAGAACUAUAUCCUGGCUUGAAAUGAAUCAUGUCCUCAGAACUUUAGACAUUAUAGCCAAGAGCCUUCCUCUCAAAAAAUAAAUAAGUAAAUAAAAGCUGUGUUUAUAAUCAGAUAUGUUAUUUGGGGAGAUGGGAAAAGGAAAGAGAACGAUACUGGAAAAAAGAUCUGAAAUCACAUGAUACCAUUCAGAGAUUUAAAAUUAUCUGUAGUUUCAAUAUAAGUUUCAUAUCAUACAAAAUCUCUUACCAUGAGUAAAAAAAAUUUUUUUAAGUUUUUUUUCCUAUGAUCCCAUGAAGGUUUUCUAUGACAUUUUAGGCUUUAGAUCUUAAACCCCAGGAUUAUAUCUUAAGCAGUUACACAAUGUAGGAAUCCAGGAACUUUUCAUGCCAUGCCUGCUGGCAUAUGGACUUAUGCAGACACUCUGCAGAGCCAAGUACACAAAUGCCUCAGCAAUCCCACUCCUGUCUGUGUAUCUGACACAAAUCCACAAGGGCACAUGGGUGAGACUCUUCACUGAAGUACUGUCUGUGCAGGUAGGAAGAGAGAAGCUGGUUCAGUGUCCACUGUUGGGGAACAGGUACAUAACAGGUGGAAGAUGUAAACUAUGGGAUCCUCUUCAGGAGUAGAAACAAGGAACUAGCUGUACACACAGGUGCGUGGAUAAAUCGCAUAAGCAGUGAAGGCAGAAAUAUAGUGACAUGUAGCACAAAGCCACUUAUGCAAUUAAAAAAUACGUGCAUGGGGCUUCCGUGGUGGCGCAGUGGUUGAGAGUCCGCCUGCUGAUGCAGGGGACGCGGGUUCGUGCCCCAGUCCGGGAGGAUCCCACAUGCCGCGGAGCGGCUGGGCCCGUGAGCCAUGGCCGCUGAGCCUGCGCGUCCGGAGCCUGUGCUCCACAAUGGGAGAGGCCACAACAGUGAGAGGCCCGCAGAAUGCAAAAAAAAAAAAAAAAAAAAAUACGUGCAUGAAGAACUAUAUGGACACACACAAAUGAGUGUGUGUAAAACUGAUGAAACCCAGAUGAGAUCUGUGGAUUCUAUCAAGGUCAAUUUCCUGGCUUUGAUACUGGACAAGAGUUAUGCAAGAAGUUACCACUGGGGAAACUGGGUGAAGGGUACGUGGGACUCCUGGUACACUUUUUUUUUUUUGGUAACCACCUAUAAAUCUGUAAUUGUAUUUAAAAUUUAAGAAAAAGGUUUAUGCAAAUCAGGAGCAGUAUGUAUAAUAUAAUGUGGACUGUGUGUAAGGAUAUACUAAAAUAUCUGUCUAUUUAAAGUUAUAUAUAUUUUUAUGUAACCAAUACCUGGGAAAAUACUUAUAAACACAAUAGUUAUAUUUGGGAGUGGGGCUGGGAGACGUAUAUGCUGCCAGGGAGGGUAACCUUGAUUCUCUAAUGUAUAUCCUUAUGUACUAUUUUAAAAACUAUGAAUACAUAUUAUAUUUAUAAUAAUUAGAAACAUUAAACAAUACAUGCGCAAAAACCCCACUAAUGUUUUACAGGAACAUAUGCAAAUAAAACAGUUGAUA